GGAUUAAAACUUUAGAUACAGAAUGGCGGUUAAGAAUUUUAUAUUUUGGAUUAAGUAAAUGUACAAAUUCUUUGAAACUUGGAUUAUCAACUACACUGAAUGAUUGCAAAUCUUUUGUAAAUUGUUUUAAAAAAGAAUGGUCCACUUUUUUUGACAUUUUUUUUGGUGUAUAGUGCUAUGGACUGGCAUCCUGCGUUAGACUGGUGGAGAUGAUAAUGGGGUAAUGCUAUAGAUUAACGUCUUUCACCCGUCUUAAAGGUAAUUACGCGGUAACAACAGGCGUAUAGACCAGGUACAUUUCUUUGAUUGCACAAUCCUGUACCAAUAUUUACACCAGAUGUCGAAGCCAUAGACAUAGGGUCACCAAUAGGGAGGGCCGUAAAAAACGGGAAAGUAUUUUUCAGGAAAAUUAAUAUCAGAACGAUAUUUCUAUGAACCAUAUUUUUCAUGAACACUAUUCAACAAGAAUUUUAUUUAAUGGAAUUAUUUUUUUCAGAAUGUUUUUUUUUUGGAACAAUAAUACCAUUGAAUAUGUUUGUCAGGAAAUUAUUUUCUCAAAAACCGUUUACAAAGGAUUGGUAUGUAUUAGAAUUAUACUACACAGAAUCGUACGAAUCGGGACAGUUUUUUAAAGUACGGUAAAAACAGAAGUUUAGCACUUAUCAAUUAUGAUAAGAUAUAAUUAAGAAUUCAAAAUCGUCAAAGGAUGAAUAAUAAUUAUUAUUAUUUUUAAAAUAAUGAAAUCUAUUAUGCACAUUAUGUACCUACCUAAUUUAAAAAAAUAGUAAUUACCAUUAGAAAAUAUAACAUAAUGAAACAAUUUUGAGUAAUAUAACGAUCAUAGCUUUAUACAAUGUAUGCAUGACCAUUGACCACUAAAAAAACAAUGUCAUUACAAGAGGAAUAAUGUUUAUAAUAAAAAUAAUUAUAAUUAUACCAUAUAAUGUUAAUUCAGGUAUCAACUAUCAAUAGAGUGCUAUAAUAACGAGAUCCUCAAAAGGUGAAUUACAGAUAGUUUCAGACGGAUUCUAUUUUAUCUGUUAAAGAUUUCGCAUUAUGAUAAAGAUUCAGAAUAUGUACUACCCAUGUGCGGCACGUGGGGAACUUGAGCUCCAGAAAUAUAAUAAAAUUUCGACUAUACGAUAUAUUCACGAUAUUACCUCACAUUUGGCUGCCCGGUGUACUUUGGACGGCUUUUUCGAAAUGAAUACGGAAAAAUAUGUUUUCCGAAUUAUUUUUAAUCGAGCAACCAACGUAGUAUUAAUCUAACUUGAGUACCUACCUUCUAAUUAGGUGAUAUACUAAAAUGAGAUACUGUAUACGAUCUGAUGUCAGUAAUAUAUAAGUGUUCAAAGUUCAAUUUUUCCAAUAAUUGUUACUCGAUAAACGAUAUCGAUAGUGAACCAAUGAACCAAUGAACUACUCAAUAAAGAAUAUUAUUCAAUCCUAUUAUAUAUAAAUAAGUACUUAUUAGUUGCUGUAACUGAUAAUAUAUUUGUAUAGUUUAUAUUUUAUUCAGUUUAUGAAGACUUUUGGAUCUUUUUAUUUUGUUUGACAUUACUAAAACAUGAAGCAUAAAGGUUUUGUAUAUAAAAAUAAUGGAGGCAUCCAUAAAAAUAAGAGUGUUCGAUAUUUGAUCUGCAAAACCAAAUAUUGCAAAGGCUCUGCUAAAAUGCUUGCGAAUGGGACAAUUGUUGAGUUGGUGAAACAUACGCAUGACCCUGAUGAACAUGACCACAAUCACGACAUUUUAAAAAAAGCAUUUAGGCAAACAUUGAAAGACCGUUCUAAAAAAGAAACAACAAGACUCCGGACAAUAUAUGACGAAGAAAUGAUUAGGUGCAGUAAACUAGUGAUGCUCGAAUGCGUAAAAAUCGUAAAAUAGCGAACUUCAUUAGGACAUAACUUCGAAACUAAGUCCGACCGCCAAAUUCUGAUUUCACCAUGUUUUUCAGCAUACUUAACUACAAAUCCAGCUGCUGCAACCCUAUACCCCUGGCCAGUGGCUGAAAUCUCGAUGAGAAAAGCCAGGAGAACAACUAUGCCAGUUUUACCAUCGUCAUUGAGCGACUUGGCAAACUUCCUAGACUUCAAUAUGCAACGUUAUAUAUGUUGUCAACAGCCCUUCUUCCAAGAUAAGGUUACAGAUACACACGGGAAAUGUUCAAUAAUUUUUGCGUGCAGUACACUAAUUAGAAAAAUUGUUAUGCUUUGAAGUAAUGAGUUGCAUGCUGACGCAACUUUUAAAGUUGUGCCUUCAAUUCCACCAAGCCGUCAACUUUUCAUCAUGCAUUUAAUAUACCAAAACCACUCCAUACCGAUUGUUUAUACUUUGAUGGAAUCGAAGACUGAAGAGGCAUAUACUCUAUUAUUAAGCAAGUGCAAAGAAUUAUUUCCAUUUAUAAAGCCGUCAAAUAUAAUGACUGAUUUUGAAUCUGGGUUGCUGAAUGCUUUUAAAUCUGUUUAUCCAGAUGCAGAUCAGCAUUCUUGUUUUUUCCAUUAUGUACAGGCACUAGUAAAAAAUAUCAGAACAAGAGGAUUAACGCACUUUGUUAAAUCCAAUGUAAAUGCACAAUUUUGUGUGCAGAUGUUUUGUGCAUUGGCAUUAUUACCUACAAAUAAAAUUGAUGAAGGGUAUACA